AGUGAACGCUGGCGGUAGGCCUAACACAUGCAAGUCGAACGGCAGCACAGUAAGAGCUUGCUCUUACGGGUGGCGAGUGGCGUACGGGGGAGGAAUACAUCGGAAUCUACUUUUUCGUGGGGGAUAACGUAGGGAAACUUACGCUAAUACCGCAUACGACCUACGGGUGAAAGCAGGGGAUCUUCGGACCUUGCGCGAUUGAAUGAGCCGAUGUCGGAUUAGCUAGUUGGCGGGGUAAAGGCCCACCAAGGCGACGAUCCGUAGCUGGUCUGAGAGGAUGAUCAGCCACACUGGAGCUGAGACACGGUCCAGACUCCUACGGGAGGCAGCAGUGGGGAAUAUUGGACAAUGGGCGCAAGCCUGAUCCAGCCAUACCGCGUGGGUGAAGAAGGCCUUCGGGUUGUAGAGCCCUUUUGUUGGGAAAGAAAAGCAGCAGGUUAAUACCCCGCUGUUCUGACGGUACCCAACGAAUAAGCACCGGCUAACUUCGUG
rnacentral:rRNA from 1 species